rnacentral:rRNA from 1 species
GUGCCAGCCGCCGCGGUAAGACGUAGGGAGCGAGCGUUGUCCGGAUUCAUUGGGCGUAAAGCGCGCGUAGGCGGCUUUGCAAGUCGGGUGUGAAAACCAGAGGCUCAACCUCUGGCCUGCAUCCGAUACUGCAUCGCUUGAGGUAGGUAGGGGAGAUCGGAAUUCCUGGUGUAGCGGUGGAAUGCGCAGAUAUCAGGAGGAACACCGGUGGCGAAGGCGGAUCUCUGGGCCUUACCUGACGCUGAGGUGCGAAAGCUAGGGGAGCGAACAGGAUUAGAUACCCGUGUAGUCC